GUCUACCUCUUCCAUAAACGGCUUUAGUCUUUCUUCUUUGUCACAUGCCAAAACUUCUAUCAAGAAAACUACAUUGAGACCCUUUGCAUCUCUUAACUCUUCUUCUUCCUCUUCAUCUUCUAAUUUCCCUUCUCUUAUUCAAGACAAACCUGUUUUUGCUUCCUCUUCUCCUUUCAUCACUCCAAUUUUGGUAUAUACACUAAAUAACUAAUGCACUUUCAAUUGAUACUACAUUUGUUAUUUUGUUUGUGUGUUGUUGUAUUGUUGUUCUUCUUUCUUAGUGAUAGUAUUUUUUUUUUCGAUAAAUAAUUUUUUUAUUAAUGUAAGUCCGAGCCCAACAUCAUAGUAAGAAAACUCUACCAUCAUCAUUGUGUGAUAGUAUAUUAUACCGUCGUUUAAUUCAUUUAGUGGGAUGAAAUGGAAAGGAGAACAUGUAUAUAUGUCAUGGCCCCCAAAUUUUGUACUAUUGCAUUUUUUAAGGAUAUAUUUAUUAUUUUGUGUUGCAUAAUGAAUUGUUGGUUUAUUUAGUUAUUAACCAUAAUAGUGAAUCUAUUGGUUUUAUGUUUUUGGCUAUUUAUCCCCUAAUGGCAAUUAUUUGUCUUUGCCAAUGUAUAUAGACCACCCUUUAUUGAGAAAAGGAUUUGGUUAUUGUUCUAGUUGUGUUCUUUUAUAUUUUAUAUUUUUUAUAUUUAAAAUUGUAAAAACCCCAAAAUUAUAUUUGCACUUUGGGUGUGUUUUAGUUGUCAUGCAUUAAUUAUGGCUAUUGGGUGAUCAUGUGAUUAACAAUCUAAUAGUGUCCACUACUUAUGAGGUGAAUAUGAUUGCUACUUCUACUUGGAAAACAAUCUUUCAUUUUGAUUUAUAAAGUAUGGUUUUCACGUGGAACUCUAUUUAAUCUUUCUUUGGCAUACAUCAAAAUGGUAAGUUUAGUUUGGACAAAUGUGUGGCAUGGAUUUAUUCAUGUAUUACAUGUGUCACCAAUUAACACCAUACAACUAACCAUUUUUUUUAUUAGAAAAAAAUUAUACUAAAAAUAAUAACUAUAUAUUAGGUGCAUUUGCCUUGUAUAGGGGACCAUGGAAGUAUGUGAUUAGUUAGAGGAUUCUAUAAAGUAGCAAAUCCAAAUUACUAUAGAAGAAAAGGUCCAUUCAAAACUAGUUUUGCUAAAUUAGCCCUUAAUUAAUCCCCAUACACAAAAUAUUAAGUAUACCAUUUCCAAUUAUAGUGUUUCUCAAACUUUAUAGUGCUAUAUAUCUAUUUACUUGGUUGACUUCUAAAUAUUAUUGUACUAAUUUAUUUAUUUUUGUAAUAAAAUACUUUUGUACUUUAAUUAGUAUUCCAUAUUUUUCUUAUGUAACAUAAAAGACUAAAAUUUCAUAUGUCUUAUUAGAAAAUAAUAAAAAAAUUAC
rnacentral:lncRNA from 1 species